rnacentral:rRNA from 1 species
AGUGAACGCUGGCGGUAGGCCUAACACAUGCAAGUCGAACGGCAGCACAGUAAGAGCUUGCUCUUACGGGUGGCGAGUGGCGGACGGGUGAGGAAUACAUCGGAAUCUACUUUUUCGUGGGGGAUAACGUAGGGAAACUUACGCUAAUACCGCAUACGACCUACGGGUGAAAGCAGGGGAUCUUCGGACCUUGCGCGAUUGAAUGAGCCGAUGUCGGAUUAGCUAGUUGGCGGGGUAAAGGCCCACCAAGGCGACGAUCCGUAGCUGGUCUGAGAGGAUGAUCAGCCACACUGGAACUGAGACACGGUCCAGACUCCUACGGGAGGCAGUAGUGGGGAAUAUUGGACAGUGGGCGCAGGCCUGAUCCAGCCAUACCGCGUGGGUGAAGAAGGCCUUCGGGUUGUAAAGCCCUUUUGUUGGGAAAGAAAAGCAGCAGGUUAAUACCCCGCUGUUCUGACGGUACCCAAAGAAUAAGCACCGGCUAACUUCGU